rnacentral:rRNA from 1 species
GACGAACGCUGGCGGCGUGCUUAACACAUGCAAGUCGAGCGACGCUCUUCCUUCGGGGAGAUGACGGAGCGGCGAACGGGUGAGUAACACGUGGGCAACCUGCCCCUAGCUCUGGGACAACACCGGGAAACCGGUGCUAAUACCGGAUACGACAUCGAGCGGCAUCUCUCGAUGUGGAAAGUUUUUUCGGCUAGGGAUGGGCCCGCGGCCUAUCAGCUUGUUGGUGGGGUAAUGGCCCACCAAGGCGACGACGGGUAGCCGGCCUGAGAGGGCGACCGGCCACACUGGGACUGAGACACGGCCCAGACUCCUACGGGAGGCAGCAGUGGGGAAUAGUGCGCAAUGGGCGAAAGCCUGACGCAGCGACGCCGCGUGAGGGAGGACGGCCUUCGGGUUGGAAACCUCUUUCAGCAGGGACGAAUUCAGACGGUACCUGCAGAAGAAGCACCGGCAAACUACGUG